UUCAUAGGCAGGGUAAAGGUAAAGAUAAUUAGGUAAAGACAAUGAAUAAUUAAACGUAUUAUAAAUUGACACCAAUAUCCAUCAAAUAGUAUAACUAGGUAUGCUAAGAGCGGGCUUCAGGCCAUUACGUCGCACCUUUAGAAUUAAACUAAUUUGACUCAAAAAGUACGACUACUUUAUAUAUGUAGUUUGGUAGAACAGUAAGAACUCACUAUAUGUGUCUCUUUUUCAUGCGGUGAAAUCCCCCCACCCGGAAAGGGUAGCGACGCCCAUUUUAUCGACUCUCGAGUCGACUCCAAUCUGAUACUAAUAAAACCAUACGGAAAUAAUGAGGAUGCAUCGACAUAAGAAGAAUCGAACAUGGGCAAGAUAAAGUUCAAGAAAAAAGCAAAUAUAAUGUGUACUUGUGUGUAGUCAAAGAAAGUUGAAAAAUAAAGCAUAAUUAAUGGCCAUAGAAUACAGAACCGAUACACGAACAUUAAGACUAUUAAAAAUAGACAUAUAGGUUGAUCGUACUACUCGUACUAAUGUAUUUCUUUUGUUCAAUUAUAUUAUUGCAUUAAAGUUAGAUUCUCUAGAUAUAUAU